ACAGUGCACGCCCUUAUCAAUUUCUAUACACCUGUGCACCUUUGUAGAUUUGGGGGAGUAAUCCUUCGAAUCUAUGUUUAUAUACCCCUUUUAAAUGUUUUUGAAUGUUUCUUGUCUUUUGACAAAUAAAUCUAUACAACUUUAAGCAACGGAUCUCUUGGCUCUCGCAUCGAUGAAGAACGCAGCGAAAUGCGAUAAGUAAUGUGAAUUGCAGAAUUCAGUGAAUCAUCGAAUCUUUGAACGCACCUUGCGCUCUUUGGUAUUCCGAAGAGCAUGCCUGUUUGAGUGUCAUUAAAUUCUCAAACCAACAACUUUAUUGUUUGUUGGCUUUGGACUUUGAGGGUUGUUGAUGAAAAUCGACUCCCUUUAAAUAUAUUAGCUGGCAUUGACUGCCAGACUAUGGUGUGAUAAUUAUCUACGCUAUUGGUCUGACAUGUUGGCUGCUUCUAAUCGUCUUCGGACAACUUAUGACAAUUUGACCUCAAAUCAGGUAGGACUACCCGCUGAACUUAAGCAUAUCAAUAAGGCGGAGGAA
rnacentral:rRNA from 1 species